rnacentral:rRNA from 1 species
UACAGAGGUCUCAAGCGUUGUUCGGAUUCAUUGGGCGUAAAGGGUGCGUAGGCGGCGCGGUAAGUCUGGUGUGAAAUCCCUCGGCUCAACCGAGGAAGUGCAUUCGAUACUGGCAAGCUCGAGUACCGGAGAGGGUCGUGGAAUUCCUGGUGUAGAGGUGAAAUUCGUAGAUAUCAGGAGGAACACCGGGCGGCGGAAGGCGGCGACCUGGACGAGUACUGACACUCAGACGCGAAAGCGUGGGGAGCAAACAGG